rnacentral:rRNA from 1 species
UGGGGAAUUUUCUGCAAUGGGCGAAAGCCUGACAGAGCGAUACCGCGUGAGGGAUGACGGCCUGUGGGUUGUAAACCUCUUUUUUCAAGGAGGAAGUUCUGACGUGUACUUGAAGAAUAAGCAUCGGCUAACUCCGUGCCAGCAGCCGCGGUAAGACGGAGGAUGCAAGUGUUAUCCGGAAUCACUGGGCGUAAAGCGUCUGUAGGUGGUUUAUUAAGUCUAUUGUUAAAUCUUGAGGCUUAACCUCAAAUCAGCGAUGGAUACUGAUAGACUAGAGUGUGAUAGAGGUAAGAGGAAUUUCCAGUGGAGCGGUGAAAUGCGUAGAGAUUGGAAAGAACACCGAUGGCGAA